GCCUUUCUUCACCUAAGGCGUUCCAAACAAUUUUGUCUCCCCCAGAAGAAUUGCAUCGUCCAUCUCCCGCUCUUGUCGCACAAGAGCUAGCACUAGCCAAAUUAAAGCUUGACACUGAGAUUCCUGUUCACCGAGAUGAACUCUGAAGAGACCAGCCAGGCCGGUGAAGCAAGAACUGCGGCACCUGAACUGGAAGAUGGGAUGCCCUUCUUCAUGAAGAGUGCGGCGGAUCUGAAGAAGAAACAUAUCAUUCGGAGGUUUCAGAUGCAGCUACAAUAUAUAGCUGAGAUAAUAUUGAUCCGUUCUGCUUCGUCAACUUGAAACAUUUCAGAUACUAUAGCGAUGAGCACUUUGCUCCCUUGGAGGGACACAAGGCGCAGCGUUCAGCUGCUCGUGCCAAAAAACAUCGUGGCUCCCAUGCACAUGCCGUUGAUGAAUCAGGUGGCGGGAUUGUCUAUCUUGACAUAGAUGUACACGCCUCGCAGCAGAGUGUGACUGAUCUAGGUUCUGUGGAGGCCGCUCUCACAACAAACUUCGAUGCCCGGCGUCGCCGCCUCCGCUGGUGGAUCCAUCUUCCGUUAGACCACGCCGGGUGUCUGGAAGCUUUUUAUUGCCGCGGGACG